rnacentral:lncRNA from 1 species
CUUAAAGGGGCAUGAGCGUCCCACUCAGCAUCACCACUGGACCAGCUCAGAUAAUAAUUAAACAUCCCAAACCCGCAAUUCUAACAUAGGAGCUCAUUGUCAGUGGAGUCCAUCCAUCCACAAAGGACACUGGAGAGAGUCAAACUGCUCCUCCCCAUUGACAAAAACCAUGUGUUUAAUAUCAAGUCUUCAAUACCCAACGUGUAGUAAGAGCUCAUUUCUCUGAGCAUACAUUCUUGAAGAAAUAUAAACUCUCUUUGGAUGUCAAAUUAUUUACUAGAAAAAACAUUUUUAUGAAGGGAAAAUAAUAUAUGUGAGUUUAAAUAGGAGACAGGAUUCAAAUUUUCAUCAUUUCACAGAAUGCAUCUCCAUCUGAAUUGUCGUGUGAUUUUUGUGAUAGAGAAGAGAAUGAGGCACAAGCGAGGGUCCAUGUUCCUGUUAAGCCCUGGCCAUCCUUCUCAUCCACGGUGCUGCCUGUGGAGAGCACACCUGGGGCUCCCCUGAGGCUGCUUGUGCUGUGUGUCACUCGGAUAGUUCCUCAAGCGACUCGCUUGCAAUAGGCAGUAAACACCGACGUCGUGAAUGAACGAAGAAACUACCACAAAGAGGAAACGAAGCACUUUUGUCCCUGCGCGUCAUUCUAACCAUGGAUUGUGGGUCCUGAGGUGUGUGAGGGGCUGUGGUGUGUGUGUCCUGAGAUGUGUGAGAGGCUGUAUAUGUGUCCUGAGAUGUGUGAGGUGUUGUGUGUGUGUCCUGAGGUGUGUGAGGGUUGUGUGUGUCCUGAGGUGUGUGAGGUGUUGUGAGUCCUGAGGUAUGUGAGGGGUUGUGUGUGUGUCCUGAGGUGUGUGAGGGUUGUGUGUAUUCUGAGGUGCAUGAGGGGUUGUGUGUGUCCUGAGGUGUGUGAGAUGUUGUGUGUGUGUCCUGAGGUGUGUGAGAGGUUGUGUGUGUCCUGAGGUGUGUGAAAGUUGUGUGUGUCCUGAGGUGUGUGAGGGUUGUGUGUGUGUGUCCUGAGGUGUGUGAGGUGUUAAGUUGUGUGUGUCCUGAGGUGUGUGAGGUGUUAAGUUGUGUGUGUCCUGAGGUGUGUGAGGGUUGUGUGUGUGUCCUGAGGUGUGUGAGGGGUUAUGUGUGUGUCCUGAGGUGUGUGAGAGUUGUGUGUGUGUCCUGAGGUGUGUGAGGUGUUGUGUGUGUGUCCUGAGGUGUGUGAGGGUUGUGUUUGUUUCUUUGCUCCUCUCAGGU